GGACACAGGGGAGGACACUGUGUGUGUCCCCAAGUUUACGUACUGCCCCCACACAUCCAGACGAGAUGCCACCUCCAAGUGGGAACAGCCAGCAGGGAAAGAUUUUUGUCUGUGCUGGCUCCAAGAAGCCAGGAAGUCAGAAAAAUGUGGCCCAGUGAAAGGAAACCCUCCUAGAAAUAUCCACUCCAGCCCCCAUUCCAGCCAAAAGUCUCUAGGAAAACUGCCCUACAGUAGGUCCCAUCUGGAAGUGGCUCCCCUCCUACCUGGGGAGACAGCUGGCACCCUCUGCCAGCGUUCAAAGAAAGUUGAGCAGAAAUGUUUAAGGUGAAGAAGAGUGAAAGAGGUGCUCUGGACAGAGGCGGAGCAGGGAGCAGGCCCGAAGGGGCAGCAGCUAUGACAGGUCACCACACAUUCUCCCGAGAGACUGUGCUCCCGAUUCACCUCAUAGACCCUCCUUCCCAUGAGGACCACGUACACACGCCAAGAGGAACUGGGAUGUGACACAGAUAACAUACUGGUCAAGAAGUUGCCAGUAGCUGAUGAUAAAUGUCUUCUUCAAGUCAACACAACCUUACAACAAAGGAACAAAGUCUACUACCAGUGGAUGCUUCUCAGCUGACCCCCUCCCCAGGAAGGUCUGGGAACCCAGAAAACAGGGCAGAGGAGACACAACUGGUGGACGCCUAUGGGCUAGUUACACUGUUCCCAGGCCCAACCGCUCCUUGUGUUACACACAGGUGCACAUGCCUGUGCAUGCACACACACACACACACACACACACUCCCUGCUCAUCCUCACAGCCAACCUCCCACAGAGCAGAGUUUAUCCAUCUGGCCUCCUAAAUCCCUGAAAAGGACUCCCUCACCACCCUCCUUCCCUCUGAUUCCAUCUCCACAAGUCCCCAUGUCCAGCUCCACAGAAGCCACCAGCCAAUGCACUGCACACCCAUUUUCCUGGAGACGCUGGAAUAUUGGGUGAUUUUUUCUCCUGCUCUUCCUGACACUCUACCUUUCUCUGGACUCUGUGCCGAGAUCUCUCACCUCGGGCCACAGCCCCUCUGCCUCCUUCCUACUCCCACCCUCUCCCACCCCAACUUUCCUGUCUCCAUGUCAGUUUGAGCUAAAUGGUUUUUAUUCACAACCCUUCUCCUGACCUCAUAUCUCCAGCUGUCUGAAUCCUGUUGCAUGUGUAUUUUCAUCUGACAUGUGACAUGAACCCACCACCUCUGAACUUAUAAAAUCCCUCACUCUGUCUCUUUCUCCUGAAUCAGUCCCAGGCCAUCAGUACUGACCACUACAUCAUUCAUUAGUAAAAGCUCAGAUUUAUAUUUUAAUUCUUAAUCCUUUAAACUCUUCCUCUAAAUGUCCUGACGACAAAUUCUUAAUUUUUCUUUCUGUUCCCUUCUCCAAAGGCUCAACCUUUCCUCCCACCUCUUUGAAGCUGAUAAUUUUCACUUGUUUGCCUUGAGGUAUCUUGGCCUUACCUGGGUUACUUCUAACUUGGGAGCAGCAUCCUUCCAGCAGGGCACAUGGUAGCAGCCAGGGCUCCUCCCUUUCCCACGUGGUUUCGGAUUAUUCUUCCUAACACACUCCUGGGAUCCUGCCAUCCUCAUUCUCAGAUACAGACCAAGCCUUUUGGCUGCCCAUUACAUAAAGGCCAUCAUCCUCCCCUGUCAGCCAAGGUCAAGCAGAAGUUGGCCUCAGACACCCUCUCAGAGACAUCAACAGUGCUCCUGGAUACUCGCCCUCAGGAUGAGGUCAACUGGAACUUCCUCCAGGAACUUGAGCAGAUGCUCUGACUUCUCUCAUAUCAGCACCACUAGUACCCACAGUAGCAUCCUGACACCAGUCACACUUUUGCUCAUGUUCCAGGUCCAGUGUUAGUGACCUCCUCCAUGAAGCAUAUUCCAUGAAGCAUGUUCCCCUCCAUGAAGCACAUUCCAUGAAGCACGCUCCCCUCCAUUAAGCAUGUUCUCCUCCAUGAAGCAUGUUCCAUGAAGCAUGUUCCUGUCUAUGAAGCAUGUUCCAUGAAGCAUGCUCCCCUCCAUGAAGCAUGCUCCAUUUGUGCCUAUUAGAAGCACCCUUUCAGUUUGUUGCAGCAGAAAGGCAAAGGCUGUGUUAUCAGCUAUACCUAGAACCGAACUGUGGCCCCAUCACUCAACAAGCAGGUAAUGGGUGAUUCCUCUGAAUCUCAAUUUUUUUAAACAGUGAAAGAGGCAAAUGCCACCCACCUUACCAAAUAAACACAAAAACUAAAUGGGACCAUGGAUAUAAGAACAUCUAAUGCCCCUAGUACAUUUCAGACAUAAUAAACACACUCUGCUGUCCCUCACCCAUAGCACUCUAUACUCUUCAGCACUUCACUUGGCAUACACAUUUUUAUAUUAUAUGUACUGCCAUCCCAAAACAAUUGCAGUGCCACAGAAUAAUUAAAUCUGUUUUAUUUUGAAAAUUGGUGGAGAAGGGAAAACAAAAACAGCAGAAUGAAUUUGGAGUAAAGUCAUGGCAUACUGGGGAAACGGUUUAACAUUUAUUUCUAUGUGAAUUAAUGCUUCAAAAAAAUCCUGUAAAUAAAUUAUGAUAGCUAUG